GACGAACGCUGGCGGCGUGCCUAAUACAUGCAAGUAGAACGCUGAAGGAGGAGCUUGCUCUUCUGGAUGAGUUGCGAACGGGUGAGUAACGCGUAGGUAACCUGCCUGGUAGCGGGGGAUAACUAUUGGAAACGAUAGCUAAUACCGCAUAACAGUAGAUGUUGCAUGACAUUUGCUUAAAAGGUGCAAUUGCACCACUACCAGAUGGACCUGCGUUGUAUUAGCUAGUUGGUGGGGUAACGGCUCACCAAGGCGACGAUACAUAGCCGACCUGAGAGGGUGAUCGGCCACACUGGGACUGAGACACGGCCCAGACUCCUACGGGAGGCAGCAGUAGGGAAUCUUCGGCAAUGGACGGAAGUCUGACCGAGCAACGCCGCGUGAGUGAAGAAGGUUUUCGGAUCGUAAAGCUCUGUUGUAAGAGAAGAACGAGUGUGAGAGUGGAAAGUUCGCACUGUGACGGUAUCUUACCAGAAAGGGACGGCUAACUACGUG
rnacentral:rRNA from 1 species